AUUGAACGCUGGCGGCAGGCCUAACACAUGCAAGUCGAGCGCGAAAGUCUUCGGAUGAGUAAAGCGGCGAACGGGUGAGUAAUGCAUGGGAAUCUGCCUGGUAGUGGGGGACAACGUCUCGAAAGGGACGCUAAUACCGCAUACGCCCUACGGGGAAAGGGGGGGAUCUUCGGACCUCUCGCUAUCAGAUGAGCCCAUGUCAGAUUAGCUAGUUGGUGAGGUAAAGGCUCACCAAGGCGACGAUCUGUAACUGGUCUGAGAGGAUGAUCAGUCACACUGGAACUGAGACACGGUCCAGACUCCUACGGGAGCAGCAGUGGGGAAUAUUGGACAAUGGGGGCAACCCUGAUCCAGCCAUGCCGCGUGUGUGAAGAAGGCCCUAGGGGUUGUAAAGCACUUUCAGUGGGGAGAAAGGUUAUUCACCUAAUACGUGAGUAGAUUGAUGUUACCCACAGAAGAAGCACCGGCUAACUCCGUGCCAGCAGCCGCGGUAAU
rnacentral:rRNA from 1 species